AUUGAACGCUGGCGGCAUGCCUUACACAUGCAAGUCGAACGGUAACAGGUCUUCGGAUGCUGACGAGUGGCGAACGGGUGAGUAAUACAUCGGAACGUGCCUAGUAGUGGGGGAUAACUACUCGAAAGAGUGGCUAAUACCGCAUGAGAUCUACGGAUGAAAGCAGGGGAUCGCAAGACCUUGUGCUACUAGAGCGGCCGAUGGCAGAUUAGGUAGUUGGUGGGAUAAAAGCUUACCAAGCCGACGAUCUGUAGCUGGUCUGAGAGGACGAUCAACCACACUGGGACUGAGACACGGCCCAGACUCCUACGGGAGGCAGCAGUGGGGAAUGUUGGACAAUGGGCGCAAGCCUGAUCCAGCAAUGCCGCGUGCAGGAUGAAGGCCUUCGGGUUGUAAACUGCUUUUGUACGGAACGAAAAGCCCUGGGUUAAUACCCUGGGGUCAUGACGGUACCGUAAGAAUAAGCACCGGCUAACUACGUGCCAGCAGCCGCCGUAACAC
rnacentral:rRNA from 1 species